CACUUCUCCUUCCUGCCAUCGUGUGAAGAAGGAUGCUUCCCCUUCUGCCAUGAUUGUAAGUUUCCUGAGGCCUCCUCAGCCCUGCAGAACUGGCUAGAGCAGUGUAUCUUAGGCUCACUUAAGGAAGCUGUAGAGAUGAGCCCAAGGAGGGAAACCAGAAGAGCCCCCCAGGCUCACCAGUUGUUUGUUGGCUCCCUACAAACAUGUCAUUCAAGUGGCUAAUCUUACAACAGCACAAAUGCAUCUAACCAGAGAUACUCUAUUAUAGCAAAGAAGAAAGACAAUUUCAUUGAGCCAUCCUGUUUUACAGAUAAGGAAACCAAAGGCCAUAGAAGACUUGCCUUAUGUCAUGAAGAAAGUUUAUGUUAGAACUCAGGGCUCCCAAUUCCACUGUUCUUUAUUCUACACCUGGGUGGUCACAGCUGAAAAUGUUUUGCUUAUUUCUAAACAGAAAUCAUUUUUGACAUGUUCAUUUUAAUGAUGUGUCUACGCCUGGGGCUAAUAUCAUGAAAACAAUGUGUCUGGUAAGGAGAAAACUGAAAAAGUCAGCAUUAAAAAGGCAUUUAAGUCAAUUUCAAAUGCCUCCCA